GUUAAAAAGCUCGUAGUUGGAUUUUGGUUAAGAGGGCGCGGUCGGCCGUUUGGUCUGUACUGCGUUGUCUUGACUUCCUGAUGAGGACAUGCUCUUGGUUAACGCUGAGACAUGGAGUCAUCGUGGUUACUUUGAAAAAAUUAGAGUGUUCAAAGCGGGCUUACGCUUGAAUAUUUCAGCAUGGAAUAACACUAUAGGACUCCUGUCCUAUUUCGUUGGUCUCGGGACGGGAGUAAUGAUUAAGAGGAACAGUUGGGGGCAUUCGUAUUUCAUUGUCAGAGGUGAAAUUCUUGGAUUUAUGAAAGACGAACUUCUGCGAAAGCAUUUGCCAAGGAUGUUUUCAUUAAUCAAGAACGAAAGUUGGGGGCUCGAAGAUGAUUAGAUACCAUCCUAGUCUCAACCAUAAACGAUGCCGACUAGGGAUUGGCGGAUGUUAAUUGAUGACUCCGCCAGCACCUUAUGAGAAAUCAAAGUUUUUGGGUUCCGGGGGGAGAUAUGGUUGCAAGGCUGAAACUUAAAGGAAUUGACGGAAAGGCACCACCACGCGUUGAGCCUGCGGCUUAAUUUGACUCAACAC
rnacentral:rRNA from 1 species